rnacentral:rRNA from 1 species
GACGAACGCUGGCGGCGUGCCUAAUACAUGCAAGUAGAACGCUGAAGAGAGGAGCUUACUCUUCUUGGAUGAGUUGCGAACGGGUGAGUAACGCGUAGGUAACCUGCCUUGUAGCGGGGGAUAACUAUUGGAAACGAUAGCUAAUACCGCAUAACAAUGGAUGACACAUGUCAUUUAUUUGAAAGGGGCAAUUGCUCCACUACAAGAUGGACCUGCGUUGUAUUAGCUAGUAGGUGAGGUAAUGGCUCACCUAGGCGACGAUACAUAGCCGACCUGAGAGGGUGAUCGGCCACAAUGGGACUGAGACACGGCCCAGACUCCUAAGGGAAGCAGCAGUAGGGAAUCUUCGGCAAUGGGGGCAACCCUGACCGAGCAACGCCGCGUGAGUGAAGAAGGGUUUCGGAUCGUAAAGCUCUGUUGUAAGUCAAGAACGGGUGUGAGAGUGGAAAGUUCACACUGUGACGGUAGCUUACCAGAAAGGGACGGCUAACUACGUG